rnacentral:rRNA from 1 species
AGCAGCCGCGGUAAUUCCAGCUCCAAUAGCGUAUAUUAAAGUUGUUGCAGUUAAAAAGCUCGUAGUUGAAUUUCGGGAUCGGCAUGUUGGUCGUGCCUUACGGGGUAUGAACUGGCAUCGCCGGUUUCUCACCUUCCGGAGAAUCGUGAUGCUCUUAAUUGGGUGUUACGUGGAUCCAGGACCUUUACCUUGAAAAAAUUAGAGUGUUUAAAGCAGGCAUAUUGCUCGAAUACAUUAGCAUGGAAUAAUAAAAUAGGACGGUUUGGUUCUAUUUUGUUGGUUUCUAGGAUCACCGUAAUGAUUAAUAGGGAUAGUUGGGGGCAUUAGUAUUCAAUUGUCAGAGGUGAAAUUCUUGGAUUUAUUGAAGACUAACUACUGCGAAAGCAUUUGCCAAGGAUGUUUUCAUUAAUCAAGAACGAAAGUUAGGGGAUCGAAGACGAUCAGAUACCGUGUAGUCUUAACCAUAAACUAUACUGACUAGGAAUCAGACGAUGUUAAUUUUUUAAUGUACUCGUUUGGC